GUUCAACGCUAGGGUUCGCCACAAGCAAACAACCACGUGACUCAAGGCGGACGUAACUUCCUAGGUCAAUAGAGGAAGUUGCCAUUACGUCGCACUCUUACACUUCCUGUUCCGGUCGGUGCGUGUGUUGCCGGGAAAUUGGUUUGUUUUUAUCGUAAGGGGGAAAGGUUUCUUAUCCAGCGGGCACCAUGGCUAUGCAAGCGGCCAAACGCGCCAAUAUUCGUUUACCACCAGAAGUGAACAGAAUUCUAUACAUUCGAAACCUGCCCUAUAAAAUCACUGGGGAGGAAAUGUACGAUAUAUUUGGCAAAUAUGGACCCAUCCGACAGAUCAGGGUUGGGAACACACCAGAAACCAGGGGCACGGCAUAUGUGGUCUAUGAAGACAUCUUUGAUGCCAAGAACGCCUGUGAUCAUCUCUCUGGUUUCAACGUCUGUAACAGAUACCUGGUUGUGUUGUAUUACAAUGCCAACAGGGCGUUCCAGAAGAUGGACACAAAGAAGAAGGAGGAACAGCUGAAACUUCUCAAGGAGAAAUAUGGAAUCAACACAGAUCCCCCCAAAUAAAUAAAUGCCUCCAACACAUCAGCCUUGGACUUGCUCUUGUCCCCGGUGCCCUCAUUACUGCCAUUAAGGAUUAUUAUUGCUCUGAGUGCAGACGAAGGCCCUGACAGAAGCUUCAUGGAAUGAGCAGUGACUUGUGAAUCAGAUGGGAAUCAUUUCAUCAUUUACUCCUCUGCUCAUAUACACUCAGGAGGAGGAGGUGCCGCCGUGCCUGACAGGAUGACAGGAGGCUUUGUCACUGCCACCGUACAGACCCGCAAAAGGGAAGGCGGCCAACGCAGAUGGGCUCCAAAGGAUGAAUUCAUGCAUCCGGGGAUGGGGUGCAAGGGACAGUUGAAACCGCAGAAGGACAUAGCAGGAUACACAGAUGUCAGGUUUCUGCAAAUGUACAACUAUAAAACACGUCUGCGACCUGUAAUGUUCCCUGUACAUUUCUGUAUGUCAUUGGCGUGGGAUAUGGAAUCAUUUCAGCCUUCGCUCUGCACUAGAACUGACUGUUCCUGGGAACGUUUCCCAGAUUAAAUAGUCACUAGGUUGGUGGUUCUAAUUCCUAAAUUAUACUCAAAAUACAUGAAAGUGGCACCAUUUGGCGAUUAUACAACCCGAUAAGACUAAUGUCGCUCUUGGGCGGGCCUAUUUAUUAUGCUGGGUAAAAAUAAUCUCGCUGAAGAAACGGUGUAAAAAGAUGUGUAAAAUAAAUGGCUGAUGUAACAAGGCUUGUAUGCCGUCCAAUUGCCGUAAUCUUAAAGGAAACAUAAAGCAAUUUGAUGUAAGAUUGAGCACUUUUGCAAUAUAUAUUAUUGGUUUUCUAGUUUUUAAGAUAUAACCAGUUUUACACUGCUAACAUAAUGAAUUCAGUGGCGUAACUACCAGGGGUGCAGGGGGUGUGAUCGUACCCGUGUCUGCACCCCCUUGGGGCCCACCGGAGCCAUGAUAGCAGUUAUUGUUGGAGGCUGGGCAGGGGAGAUUUUGCAGCAUGCAUGCCAACAGCACAAUUCAUAGGGGGUAGGGCCUGACGGGGUCCCAGGUACCCAUCCUGUACCAGGGGCCGCUGGCAAGUAGUUACGCCACUGAAUGAAUUUGGAACAGCAGCCCGCCUGUUCUUCAUUUCAACCAAAUAGCCACAGUUGCCACACAGUUAGCGAGCAGAGCAAUGUCGUGUGAUGGUGCUCUGCUCAGAAAAUACCAGUAGUUAGCACUAAAGAGACAACUGAUGUUACUCUGGUAUGUUCCAGGCAACAGGGCUGGUACUGGCCAGCUGGACUCCCAAGGCAAUCCAGCUUUCCACGACAUUGACGCGUGUGCUGACUUUUUCAUAUGAUCCAUCACCUGGUGGGGAACAAGGACCUGGACUAGGGGUAGGUGACAGAAGAGGUACGUACAUUGCACCCCCUAACAAUUGCACCCUAGGCAUGUUCCUCUUCUGUCUACCCCUAGUUACUCUGCUAGGCAAAGCAAUGUUCCUAAACUAUCCUCUUCCCAACAACUUCAUUUCCUGGUGACUGUAGCCUGUCAGACAAAAUGAGCAAUAGGUGGCUUUUUUCAUUCAAACCCAUUAUAUAAGCAAUGUACAAAAGGCUAAUAUCUUGAAAACUAGGGAAAAAAACUAUAUAAAUUGCAAAAGUACUCAAAAGAGCAAAUUAGCAUGGAUAUGAUCGGCCAUGACCCAACUAGACAAAACAAAGGUGGGUCAUGGCCAAGAUGGUACUCAUUUUUGCCUAUGAAUAAGUGCCAGUGGGUACAAAACGCGUAAGGCGGAACAUCAAUUGGUCUGUAUGCCCAUUUUUUAAUAUUUAUGCUGAAUAAAGAAUAAUUUUUUAAACUUUGAAA